CUUCAAUAAACGGCUCAUGUUAUGAUUAGAACGUUGACACCAAUGGAAACUGGGUGACUGGAUGCUAAUUGUCUUUUUAAAGAGGUAGGGAUGUUUUGAGACAUGUCCUCAAAUGGGUUAUGUAGCUGAGGAUGGUCUUCAAGUCUGGAUCCUCCUGUCUCUACCUCCAAGUGUCAAGAUUACAGCCCUGCACCACCGCCAAGUGUCUAAGCAUCUAAAGGUACCACACAAUGGAUGGCAAGCUGGGUCCAGCUGAGGAAAGGCCCGGUAUAGAGCCUUUUCUCAACUGCUCUUAAAGAAUCCCUCAGGGAUCCCUGUGAAAGAUGGACUGAUAUUUUAAGAAUGAAAUUGAAAGCAAACACCAGUGAACUAAAUGCAGUGUGCUGCUAGAUUACAUCCUUAAAAGAGAAAAUGGCCCAGAGAAGGCAAUUGCCAUGCAGCAAAAGUUUCUCAAUGCUUUGGAAAAGAGUUCCAGCCCACUGGCCUUUCAGCCACCAACGAGCUCUGCAUGACGGAAAUGACUCACACAAGGAAAAUGAGCGGUGUUCCAGGUGGCUGUCUCCAGACUCUGCAGGCACCUAUUGCUGUUGGAAAGAUACUUUGACGAAGAAGGGCCUCUUGGAAAAACCAGAAAUAAACCAGCACUUGCUCCAGGAGUUCUCUCCCCAAGAAGAAAUUCUAGUCUGAGGCCAGGGUUAAGACAUCAUCAUAUCCGGUAGCUGCCUUGCCCAUGUGAUAGGUGAUCAAGCCCCAGGACAUGGAGAUGCCAUUAUGGGUGCUCUUUCUAAUUUUCAGCUUGGUUUAACUUGAAAACAAUGAUAAUCACUUCCAAGUCAAUAAAAUUAAUUCUACAUAAAACAUGUACUGAAUAGAAAAAGACAAAAUGUAAAAGUUAAUCGUGGGUGUAUCUAUAGGAUCCCAAGCAACAAGAAGCCUAAAGCUUGAAAGGGUUAGGUAGUUUCUUGGCCCUAGGUCAGACCUGCUUGGACUACUGGGCUCUAGAUGUUUGAGAUGGUAGGGUUAGUGUUUUCUUUUGUUGUCUCCUUUCUCUAAAAGGUCUCAUGUCACUCAGACUGUUUGUAAACUGUAUCCAUAGCCAAAGAUAACCUAGACUUCCAAUGUCUAUGUUCCAAGUGCUAGCAGCAUAGGCAUACACCACCAUACCAGCUUUGUUUUUUUCUUACUAUCUAUCAAAAAUAGUUGCGAAAAUAACAUAUCUAUUUGGGGGGCCUGCUUGUCUUUGUAAAAUCAUUUACACCUAGACAGCAUGGAGUUAUUCCUGUUAUAAAUAUCCCAUACCAGCUUCUCAACAUGGAGCCUAGUGUAGUGACUGGAUUAAAACUGGGACUCUGAUAUCAGAUGACCUAUAUUCAAAGUUUGGCUAUGUGAUCUAUAUCAUGUCUCUUAGUACUUUUACUUUAGUACCUACAGCCUGGAUAUAACAAUUCAUCUCUGAGAAGUGGGCUAUGGGAAUUAAACCAUUUACUAGGUCAAAAGUCAUCGGGAGAGUUCCUGACUCAUACUAAGUGCUAGUAAAUGUUGGCUGAAAAGACCUUACUUGGGGCUAGGGAGAGGGUUCAUAAAGCUAAUGCCCCCGAAGUAGGAUGGCCAGAGUUCAUAUCCCCAGCAGACCUACAAAUGGCAGGUGGAUGCGGCAGCCCACCUGUAAUCUUAGAACUCAGGAGGCUGAGACAGGGGAUCACUGGAGCAAGCUGGAUUGCAAGAUGAGCCCGACUGGCAAGCUCUGGGUUCAAGUGAAAUAUUCUGUCCUUAUGCAUAAGAUAAAGACUGAUCAAGGAAGACAUUAACACCAACCUCGUUCAAUGUGUAUCCUAGCUAAAGAAUCCAAAAUGUAAGGAAGCCAGUUGUUGGGGGUUUUUUGUUUUUGUUUUUUGGGGUUUUUUGUUUUUUGUUUUUUGUUUGCUUGUUUCUUUCUUUCUUUGUUUGUUUUAAGUAGUCCAUAAGCCUUUUCCUAUGGAGAAAUAUUACCUUUACAGUGGUCAGCCAGGUUUGGUAGACUGGCAAAUCAUUGCUUUGGAAAAGGGACCUCCCAUUCCCUCUAAAGCUGUCCAGGAUACAAACAUCCUUGAGAAGCCAGUGGGGAAGACAUACAUGGUGAACAGUGGUUGCUCGUCAAUAUAUGCAUCACUCUGAUGUAUCUUGUACCCCAAUAAAAGAUGAUUGAAAGUGCUA
rnacentral:sRNA from 1 species